GAAACAUCUAAGUACCUGUAGGAAAGGAAAUCAACCGAGAGGCCGGUAGUAUCGGCGAGAGAACCCGGCGUUGGCUUGAGACAUGGUUCUGUGUUGAAGGUGGGGGAAACCACAACCAGAGAAGGUUUGAGUCCUGUAGAAUGCAAGAACCAUGUUGAACAAGUACCACCAUCUGGUGGGAAGAUAGGAGAACCACCUUCUAAGCCACACCUACGAUUUUGAAAACCAUAGUGCACAAGUACUGUGAAGGAAAGGUGAAAAGAACCCUAAUGCGGGGAGUGAAAAGAACUGAACCAAGACACCGACAAACAAUCGAUGGCGGUUCCUUAUCACGGGAAUGCGCUACCGGUGUACCUUUUGCAUAAUGGGUCAGCGACUAAAUGACGUAUGCCUGCGUAAGCCAAGAGGUGGACGCAAAGCAAAAGCAAGUGGGCACGCCGCGAACGGUCUGCGUCAUUUGACCCGAAACUGAGUGAUCUCAUUUCCAGCAGGUUGCAGAAAGCGUACCUGCUUUUGAAGGACCGAACCGACGUCUGUAGCAAUAGGCGCGGAUGACUGGAGAUGAGGGGUGAAAGGCCAAUCAAACUCAGAGAUAGCUGGUUCUUCGCGAAAUCUAUUGAGGUAGAGCGUACACGAUGGUCUUUGACUAUGGAUGCUGGGGGUAGAGCACUUCUUGAGCUAUGGGGGCCCAAAGCCUUACUGCUCUCAUGAAAACUCCGAAUACCAGAUCAUCUUUACGUGUGCAGACAGAGGUAGAGUGCUAAGGUUCUGCCUCGAAAGGGAAACAGCCCAACCCGUGUGGUAAGGUCCCCAAACCCUAUGUGAGUGGGAAAAGCUACCUUCCGACGAUGACAACGAGCAGGUUGGCUUGGAAGCAGCCAUCCUUUAAAGAAAGCGUAAGAGCUCACUCGUCGAGUUGGAUGUAGUUGAUGAUGUAUCGGGGCUGAACAUAGGUACCGACCCAACGGAUGGAUACAGGUUCAAUACAGCCUGUGUCUAUGGUAGCGAAGCGUUUUGAGUACUGCUGAAGUGAGGGCGGAAGCUUUCAUGUAGGGUUCAAAAGUGACUAUGCUGGCAUGAGUAACGAAAGAUCAUGUAGAUAAGGCAUGACCGCCGUACGUUCAAGGUUUUCUUGCGUUCUGGUAACCAGCGCAGAGUUAUUCGGCCCCUAAGGGCAAAGGCCACCGCCUUUCCUGAUGGAGAUCUGUACGUUGUCCCGCAUCUGGUGUACGACCCACGGCACUUUGGAUAGCUAUGGCGUGCGCAGGUGUGCAGGAAAAGCCGUACAGGAGGCUCACAAGGCCUCGAAGACCGUACCCUAAACCGACACAGGUGAACGAGUCGACUAGACUUAGGCGUUGAGGAAACUACAUUGAAGGAACUCGGCAAAUUCUUCCCGUACCUUCGGAACAAGGGAAAGCCAUUGGCAUACAUCAAAAGGGGGGUGACGACUUUUUACUAAAAAAUUAGGACUCUGCAAACUUGUAAAAGGACGUAUAGGGUCUGACGUCUGCCCGGUGCUAGAAGUAUAAAAGGCGCAGUGCAAGCUGCAAAUGGAAAGCCUAGUAAACGGCGGUUGUAACUAUAACAAUCAUAAAGUAGCGAAAUUCAUUGCCAGCUCAUUCCUGGCCUGCAUGAAAGACGUAACGAUUGCCCCACUGUCUCCAGUGUAGACUCAGUGAAAUUGAAUUCUCCGUGCAGAUGCGGAGUACGUGCCCCAAGACGAGAAGACCCUGUGCAUCUUUACUGUACAUCUGCAGUGCCCACACUCUGUCCCUGUGUAGGAAAGGUGGAAGCGUAUGCGUCCGUGAAAUACCACCCUUGGCGGUGGUGUGGGCUACCCUCUUCAGAGGAACCCUGCAUGUGAGGCAGUUUGACUGGGGCGGUCGCCUCCUAAAGGGUAUCGGAGGCGUGCGAAGGUAAGGGCUUCAAGGACGGAAACCUUGAAUAGCGGGGAAUGCCUACCUUGCCUGACUGCAAGACAUACAGGUCGCGCAGAGACGAAAGUCGGCCAUACUGAUCCACAAGUGCCGUGUGGAAGGGCUUGUGCUUAACGAAUCAAAGAUACGCCAGGGAUAACAGGCUGAUACUGCCCUAGAGUCCUUAUCGACGGCAGUGUUUGGCACCUCGAUGUUGACUGAUCAUAUCCUGGGGCUGAAGAAGGUCCCAAGGGUACGGCUGUUCGCCGUCUAAGAUGGUACCUGAGUUGAGUUUAGAACGUCGUGAGACAGUUUGGAUUCUACCUGGGGUGCGC
rnacentral:rRNA from 1 species